GUGCUCACUUCGGCAGCACAUAGACUAAAAUUGGAACGCUACAGAGAUCAGCACGGCCCCUACACAAGGACGACAUGCAAAUUCGCGAAGUGUUCCAUAUUUUU